GGCUCUGUAGUUCAACUGGAUAGAAUAUCAGAUUUCGGCUCUGAGGGUUGGGGGUUCGAAUCCCUCCAGGGUCA
rnacentral:tRNA from 1 species